rnacentral:misc_RNA from 1 species
GAGGAAUGGCAGGUGGGAAAUUACGUUCUCAUGAGGAGCCUCUUUCUUUCUCCUCCACAGUUGUACUUUGUCCAUCUUAAAAUAGCUAAUUAAGACUCAGAGAGAGAACACAUACGCUUGUACAACAGAAGUCGUCUAGGGUUCUUUAGAUCAAAAUCCCUUAAAAAUCCCCAAUUCACCACAUUCACACAAUCCUAUAAAUCAACGGCAUUGUUACCAUUCUUAUUGUCGAUCGAUUCAUUUCUAAGUUCAAUCUAAUGUGUAGAUGUACUCGAGCAAUUUGAAAGGGUUUAUACUGGCUGUGGUUUCCAGUGCCUUUAUAGGCUCCAGCUUCAUCAUCAAGAAGAAAGGUCUCAGGAAGGCCGGCGUCAACGGCCCUCGUGCUAGCGUUGGAGGAUAUGGUUAUCUGUUGGAGCCACUCUGGUGGGUGGGCAUGGUUACCAUGAUUGUUGGAGAGAUUUCCAAUUUUGUAGCCUACAUUUAUGCUCCUGCCGUUCUUGUGACGCCUCUUGGUGCUUUGAGUAUCAUUGUUAGUGCUGUAUUAGCCCAUUUCUUGUUGAAGGAGAAACUGCAAAAGAUGGGAAUGUUGGGUUGUCUUCUAUGCAUAGUGGGUUCCACGGUGAUUGUAUUACAUGCACCUGAAGAACAGUCCAUUAAUUCGGUUGAAGAAAUCUGGGAAUUAGCUAUCCAACCAGCAUUUCUUUUGUAUACAGCCUCUGUUGUAGCUGUAGCAUUUGUAUUGAUCUU